UUUUAUUUGAACUAAAAAAAAAUAUUACGCUGUUAUCCCUAAGGUAAUUUUUUCUUAUAAUCAUUAUUAAUGGAUCAUUUAAUCAUUUAUUUAUGUUUACUUUUUAAAAAAAGUUAAUUUAAUUUUUCUAUCACCCCAAUAUAAUAAUUAAUUUUAUUUUAAUAAAAAUUUUUAUAUAAUUUUAAAAUAAAAAUAAAUAUAAAACUCUAUAGGGUCUUCUCGUCUUUUAAAAUUAAUUUAGCUUUUUAACUAAAAAAUAAAAUUCUAAAAAUAAAUAAGAGACAGUUUAUAUUUCAUCAAAUCUUUCAUACAAGUUUCCAAUUAAAAAACUAUUGAUUAUGCUACCUUUGUACAGUCAUUAUACUGCAGCCCUUUAAUAUUUAUCAGUGGGCAGAUUAGACUUUAAAUUAUACCCAAAAAGACAUGUUUUUG
rnacentral:rRNA from 1 species